rnacentral:lncRNA from 1 species
CCCUCUUCCUUUUGAAGAUCCACUUAUACUCUAUGGGUUUAACCUCUUCAGGUGGGUCAACUAAUAUCCAUACAUCAUUGACCUUCAUGAACUCCUUUUCGAAUUUCAUGGCUUCAAGCCAUUUAUUAGAGUCAGACCUCUAUAUUGCAUUUAUAUGGAUGAUCGGAUCCUCAUUGUUCUCAUUGAGUUCAACAGGAUCCCUGUCUCAGACCAAGAAAUCAUAGUAUCUAUCCGAUUG